rnacentral:tRNA from 2 species
GCGGGAGUAGCUCAGUGGUAGAGCACAACCUUGCCAAGGUUGGGGUCGCGGGUUCGAAUCCCGUCUCCCGCUCCA